rnacentral:misc_RNA from 1 species
GUAUUGUUCAAGUAACUGCCUUUUCUUAUCAACUGAGAGUUCAUUUUUGGAUUUGGAAGAGACUGUGAUAAUGAACGGCCGGCGACGAUUGGUGGCUGUGAAAGGAUAUCCGACGAGAGCAGGAUUGAAGCUAAGCAAACUGGUCUCCGGAACGAUUGAGUGAGACCGAAGAGGUGAGAGAAAAGAAAAUGCAGUGUGUGAGGAUGAAACCGCCAUUUGUGUAAAACCCCAAUUGCAAAAAGCAAAAUUUGGUUGAAGUGAUUUUAAGCCUUGUUCA